UUCACAAAUCUACCCAAUAAAUUAAAAGCCAUAUCAAUAUAAAACAGUCUGAGAAUAGCCAAAUAGAGAAUCCAGUAACUGAUUAUUAAUGGACCUCGCCGGAAAAGCUCUUCUUAUGCGAUAGGUAUCGCCGGAAAAUUUGUUCUUCAAGCAAAGUUAAGAAUCGUUUAUGCUGGAAUCUUCACUCUUCACUCUUCACUCUUCUCUCCCCAUUAUUUUCUUGAUGAUGAAUGAGCUUAUAUAACUUUUUCCUCUAAUUUGUUGUUUUUGGUAUUAAAUUUUCUUUAAAAUUAUUUGUCGAUGAAGACGAAAGAUGGACAAAAAAUGUGUUCAUAUGGUGGAGAUGAGGGUGACUGGACUACUGAGAGAAAAAAAUUGGUGGUUUGCUCUUGUUGCUGCAUUUUUUGCUGCUUCUUUCUGAAAAGAAUGGACCUUGGGCCUAACUCAACCCAAAAAGCUAGCUUAUGAGGUGAAGAUUGCCCAAGCCAUAUAAGGAGACCAAUGACCUCAAAUCCCUCCGAUGUGGGAUAACUCAACAAUUAUUUACAUAUAUUUUUCUUUGCUUAUAGUUAUUGUAUUAUUCAUUACUUAAUAUUGUCAAGUCACCUUUUAUUAGCUUAAUGGGACAACUCAACACCCCACUCACGCCCAGAUCUCUGGAGCGUGGACAAUAUAAAUGGGGGCUCAACAUCGGUAACAAUAUAUGGGAACAGCCUGCCUCUGAUACGAUGAAAAGAAUGAACAUUGGGCCUAACUCAACCCCAAAAGCUAGCUUAUGAGGCGAGGAUUGUCUAAGCCAUAUAAGGAGACCAAGGACCUCAAAUCCCUCCGUGGGACAACUCAACACUUUCAUUUAUGUUUGGGAAUUAUUUUGAGUCAACAAAAUUAGGUGAAGCUUUGAAGUUAGGAGCAGUAGAGUUUUAUGGUGGAAGGUGACAGUUACGGUAGUUUAGUUCGAGCUUUAAUGAAUGAUUUUUCGUGACUCCGGUGGUUUCAUGGUGGGCUUAGUUCAGUUAGCUGCUAUGAGG
rnacentral:lncRNA from 1 species